CCUACGGGGGGCAGCAGUAGGGAAUCUUUCACAAUGGGCGAAAGCCUGAUGGAGCAACGCCGCGUGCAGGAUGAAGGCCUUCGGGUUGUAAACUGCUUUUAUAAGCGAGAAAUAUGAUGGUAACUUAUGAAUAAGGAUCGGCUAACUACGUGCCAGCAGCCGCGGUCAUACGUAGGAUCCGAGCAUUAUCCGGGGUGACUGGGUGUAAAGAGUUGCGUAGGUGGCAUAAUAAGUAGCUAGUAAAAUCUGGUGGCUCAACCAUUCCGACUAUUAGCUAAACUGGUAAGCUCGAGACCGUUAGGGGCAUCUGGAAUUUCUAGUGUAGGAGUGAAAUCCGUAGAUAUUAGAAGGAACACCGAUAGCGUAGGCAGGAUGCUGGGACGGUUCUGACACUAAGGCGCGAAAGCGUAGGGAGCAAACGGGAUUAGAUACCCCAGUAGUC
rnacentral:rRNA from 1 species